GAAAGAUGAGCAGGAACCAUCAAAGUGGGUUGAAUAUGGGAGGUGUGAGUGAUGGACUUUGGAAAAGAUAAAAUUCUUCCCCAUUGACACGUUUCUCAAAGCACCUUCUCUGUGAUUUCUCAGUGUUUGCUAUGCACCAAACACUUCUCAUUUCUGAGCUUGCCUUUAUGUUUCCAUGUGCAUAUCCAUGCUUUGUCCCACAUAUCGACAGGUCCUUUCGCAUUCAUUUUCCCAUACGUAUUGCUUGGGAAGGCAGAUGCUUGAUAGAGCUACCUACCUUCUUCCAAUGAAAACUACUUCACAUCACUGCGUUAGUACCUUUAAUGUUUGUAUUACUCUUGGUUGUUGGUUGACCCAAUUAAGCAUUAAUUAGCUAUUUUCUUCUUCUCACCUUUGGCUGAAAU
rnacentral:misc_RNA from 1 species